CACCAAAGAGAACGUUUCUCGCUCAGCUAGCAACGUGUCCGCCGCCUCUGCGAUACCACCAGCCACAUCCGCCACCAUGACCGUGCCGAUCGACCAGCUCACGAACGCGCAGAUUAAGGAGGAGCUGCGCACGCUGUACGCCGUCACCGACUUCGCCGACUGCAUCGAGCACGGCGAUCUCCAGAAGAAGCUGCAGGCAAUUCGUGACUCGACCCCCAUCACUCACGGCCUCCGCUAUGGCACGCUGCUGGAGAUCGGUAACAAGAGCCCGACCGGCGUCGUCACCCUCGUUCACGGUCUGGGCGACUCCGCUUACGGCUGGGAGAGCGUCGGCCACGAACUCUUGCGCCGCCUGCCUCACCUUCUCUUUCUGCUGCCUACCGCCCCGUCACGGAGCGUGACGAUCAACGGCGGCAUGUCGAUGCCUGCUUGGUACGACAUCAUAGACAUGUGCAACAGCGGCCUGCUCAGCGGCCGGCAGGAUGUCGCCUCCGUCCGACAGUCCUGCGACUAUGUGCGUAGCAUCGCCCACGUGGCAACGAAGAAGUAUGGCAUCGCGCCGCAGCGUGUUGUCUACAGUGGCUUCUCCCAGGGCGCGGCUGUCUCACUCUGCACUGGGCUGACGGCGCACAUCGCCCCGGCUGGCAUCGCGUGCAUGUCCGGCUACCUAGCUGCGUGCACGGAUGUGCUGCCGCGCAUUGUGCAGAAAGCCGUUCCUAUCACCAUGUUCCACGGCCGUCAAGACCCCGUUGUGCCCAUUUCCGCCGCGAAGGAGACGAAGGAGAUAUUGGAGAAGGACGGCGGUGUCGCCCCGAUCAGCUUCCUGGAGUACGACAUGGAUCACUCCACCCUCCCGCAGGAGAUCAACGACCUCACCUCGUUCUUAUCUCGCGUUCUGCCGGAAAAGUUCUAAGUGAGUUCCGAAAAAAAAAAAAACAGAGGAGCGCAGUAGGUGUGUGCAUGUGUAUUUCUGUGUUCUCGUGCGUUGUCCGAGUCUGUGAUUGUUAUCGUUUCUGGAAGCAUGUAGCAACCUCCAGCGCCGCCUCCGUGGGGACGGCGAGGGAGGCGGAUCGCCCCUCCGCAGUUCGGUGGUGGUUAGACUAGGGAAAAAGAGCACAAGAAAAUGUUAUAGAACCAAUUAAGAAGGAUGUGCUGGAGUCACAGACGCCCCUCUCUUCCACUCCCUGCCCAUCUCCACACUCACCAUCGCACGCGUGCGAGACUAGGCGAAGGGCCACUCGUGUAUAUGCGAACACUCCCCCUCCCCCUUUCUCCCUUCUCUAUCCUCAAG
rnacentral:misc_RNA from 1 species